rnacentral:lncRNA from 1 species
UUUUCUUUACCUUUUUGAAAUUUGUCUGUGUCUUUUCCCCAUUUCAUUUGGCGGUAUUGUUUGGAUAAGGCAGAGAUGAGAGAGCGAGAGAGGGGAAGAGGCGCUCGAGCGGUGAAGGAGCGGAGGCGAUUCCCGUCAUUCAUGUCGAUUCUGAGAUCCCCUUCCCUUCGAGCUUGAUUUCUCCUCCCUUGCUCUUCGUUCCUCGGCUGCCCCAGUUGGUUGUUCUCUUCUCUCUCUCUCUCUUCCCCGUGUGAUCUAGGUUUCUCCUCCGUUUCUGCUAGUUUCGAUUCGAGAUCCAUGUAUGUUCUGGUGUUUGAUUGAUGGAUUGUGUAUGUUCUUGCCCGUGUUUGGUGUAUGUGCUCUUGUAGAUUUUUCCCAUGGCUCCCGAUGUGUUUGUGUAAGUUCUAUGAAAUUGAUGUGGUUCCUCUGCUUAGGUUUUUAGCUCUUUCAUGUCUGAAUCCCCUCGGGUGUAGGCGCUGGUAUGUGUUUCGUUUCCUGUAGUCGCUGGUAGGGGUCUAGAUUUAGGGUUUCCGUUGGGUUUUGUUCUGGUUGGAGUAUGAUUCGUGUGUAAUGCUUCAUGUGUUUGGGUUAGUGAUUUUGCUCUAGUGGGAGUCUCUGUAAUGCUUAAUGUGUCUCGUCCUUGGGAGUAUGAUUCUUCAGUGGAUGUCCCUGAUUGUGCUAUUCUGUAAUCUCAUGUGUUCUAGCCCUGCAAUUGCCCCCUAUGUUUUCAGUCUUAGAUCCCUCCAGUAUUAGAGUGUAAGGUUAGGUUCAAGUGUUAUUAGUCAUGUAUUUGGCAGCAUUUUCCAUGUGCUUACCCGGUAAUAUUUAUCUGAUUUUGCGGUGUAAUUCCCAUGCUUAGUGCCUGUAUUUUGUGGAAUUACACUAUAUUACUUCUUUGCACUGUAAUAUUUAUCUGAUUUUGUGGUGUAAUUCCCAUAUUUAGUGCUUGUAUUUUGUAGAAUUACACUGUAUUACUUCUUUGCACUGUAAUUCACCUGAUUUGCAGUGUAAUUCCCAUGCUCAGUCAUUAUAUUUUUUUAGUUAUAUUACAGUGUAUUUACCUCAGAAUUCCACUGUACUUCUGAUGAAUUUCAUGUAGGCUUCUUCAUCACACUGUAUUAUUCCCUUGAUUUACUGUGUAAUUCCCAUGCUUAGUAACUAUUUUUUUGGAUAUAUUAAUGUGUAAUAUUCCCAUAUUUACGUUUUGUAGUUCCCUUGCUUCAAAUUUGUAAUUAUGGUUGUACUGUAAUUCCCAUGCCCAGUCAUUGUAUUUUUUAGUUAUAGUGAAGUGUAAUUUUCCUCAGGUUUCUUGUGUAACUCCCAUGAUUUUCAUGUAUGCUUCUUCAUCACUCUGUAAUAUUUCUCUGAUUUACUCUGUAAUUCCAAUGCUUAGUCACUGUAUUUUUUGGAUAUAUUAUGGUGUAAUGUACCCAUAUUGUAAUUCCAAUGCCUCAUUUUUGUAGUAAAGCUCAUAUUGUAAUUCCCAUGCAUCGUCACUGUAAUUUUCAGCUAUAUUACAGUGUAAUAUGGCCUAGUAUUACAGUGUAAUUUUGGGGUAUUGUACUCUGUAUUUGCCAUGCUUCUCCUAUGUAAUUCCUGUACAACAUUAGUGCGUCUUAUUUGCAACCAUAUAGGUCCUGAUAAGUUUUCUUAUUCUUUGUUGUUAAUGUAGUAUUUGAUUUAGGAUUUAUGUAGCAUUGUUUAAGAGUGUUUUGGUUUUGUAGUUUGAGGAGGGUCCUGGCAACCAGUUUUUUCAUGUUUAAUGGGUAGGCUAUGGAAAGUCUAUCAUUAGGGCGUUCCGUUAGCAUCUUCUUUUGAGAGUGCAGAUUGUUUUGCUGACGAACCAUUUGCGCCUGUCAACGGUAGCUAUUUCUUUCUUUUUCUCUACUUUUUUUCAAUUAUUAUUUCUUGAAGUCUGUUUAUUUAUUUUGUCUCUGUUGUAUUUUGCAUUUUUCAGGAACUUUCAGGUGAUGAAGCAGACUUUGACCAAGCUCUUUUCAAGUUUUAUGUGAACCAAGCUCAUUAUUUCUCUUUUUUGCUUGUUGUUCUUGAGGAUGCUACUGUAGCCACUAAAAAUCCAACCAAUUUUGAGUAGAAAUUCAUAUAUGCCUGGGCUUCUUCUUUUGUUUUGAACUACAUGCCUAACUGUGGCUUAAAAUUGCUGCUGGUGUUCAUAAGAUUGCCUUCUGAUGCAGUCUCUUGUUCAUUUUGCAGGAACCUCUCAAUGUCUUCUUCAUCGAGGUAUUCAUUGUCUGCGUCUUGUUCAUGUGAGUCCUCCGUUUCUCCCCUUUGUCCUUCUUGAUUUAUCUGGUUUGUGUUUGACUUUGAUUUAUUUGUUGUGGAACUAGGGUCAGUAUCUUCAGGGACCUGCAAAAUUAUUCUUUUUGUGUCCGUUUUAAUUUUCAAACAGGUUUGUACAAAUACGUUCAUAUUCUAUUUGUGACUUUGAUUUAUCUAUUUAUGUGGCUACCUGUUCCAAACUGAUGUUGUCAAACAUGUGUGCCUCCCAGGGAUUAGGUUCUGUUGUGCCUUCUUCGCUUGCUGUAGCUUCAUGAUGCAUUUCCUGCAAUGUCUGCAGUGUAAGUGAGAUGUUACUUUCUCUCUUUUUUCUCAGUUCAGAUAUGAGUUAUUCAGUACUAGUUUUCCUCUCCAUCUUGUGUAAUGUUUGCAGCACCAUCUCCCGAAUGUACCCGUGAGCGUCAUGAUUUCUUUUAAUUUAAAACUUCUCCUUCUCACAGAUUUGUAGCUAUGCAGUAUUUGAAUUUCCAUUUUACCUUGUAGAUAAUGUCUGAAUUGAGGAGCGCUGUGAAUGAAAAUGAUUCCCGCAAAAAAAAAUUUGUUAGCAUGAAUGUAUUGUAUAUAGCAUUUUCCUCUAUUGAUUUUUGCAAUCAAUUUGCUAGUAUUUAUACAUGUCUCACAUUUAGAAUGAGUUCUUCUUGUGACAUUGACAGUAGAUCCUCUCCAGUCACUCUUCCUAUCAUGCUCCCCAUCUGCAAUAUUGAAGAUUAAAUGUGAGAGAAUUUUAAUUUUGUAAGCGGCAAACUGUUAUCAGUGAUAGCUCUUUUCUCUGCAUGUAUUUCCUAAGCAGAAAACUGUCAAUAUUAACUUUUUAAGCUCCAAACUACAAAUCAUUUUUUAAGGAGCAAAGUGUGAGUUCCUGGUUUUGGACACUGUAAAUCCUGGGUGGCAUGAGGUGUUUUUACAGUGUAAAUCGGUAGUUUGAAUGGUAAAUGUUGGGUGCUUACUAUGUUUAUACAAUGUAAAUUCCAAGGUCUUUGGACUGUAUUUGUAAUGUAUUAAGAAUGUAAAUUCCAGUGCCAUUAUACUGAAUUUACAGUGUAGAUAUAUGCAUUUUUACAGUGUAAAUUCCAGGGUUUUAGUACUGAAUUUACAGUGCUAAAACUUGGGUAUUUACCUUUACCGUGUAAUUAUAGGGCCAUUAUACUGAAUUUACAGUGUAAAUACUUGUGUAUUUACAGUGUAAUUACAGGGCCAUUGUACUGAAUUUACAGUGUAAAUACUUGGGUAUUUACAGUGUAGUUACAGUACAAAGGCCCUGAAUAUCUUGGGUAUUUACACUGUAAAUUCAUGCAUUUGUACACUGUAUGUUGUAGGGUUUUGCAUUAUAUUUACAGUGUAAUUUCCAGGGCCAUUGUAUUGAAUUUACAGUGUAGUUACAGGGUCAUUGUACUGAAUUUCAUGUAGGCUUCUUCAUCACACUGUAUUAUUCCCUUGAUUUACUGUGUAAUUCCCAUGCUUAGUAACUAUUUUUUUGGAUAUAUUAAUGUGUAAUAUUCCCAUAUUUACGUUUUGUAGUUCCCUUGCUUCAAAUUUGUAAUUAUGGUUGUACUGUAAUUCCCAUGCCCAGUCAUUGUAUUCUUUAGUUAUAGUGAAGUGUAAUUUUCCUCAGGUUUCUUGUGUAACUCCCAUGAUUUUCAUGUAUGCUUCUUCAUCACUCUGUAAUAUUUCUCUGAUUUACUCUGUAAUUCCAAUGCUUAGUCACUGUAUUUUUUGGAUAUAUUAUGGUGUAAUGUACCCAUAUUGUAAUUCCAAUGCCUCAUUUUUGUAGUAAAGCUCAUAUUGUAAUUCCCAUGCAUCGUCUCUGUAAUUUUCAGCUAUAUUACAGUGUAAUAUGGCCUAGUAUUACAGUGUAAUUUUGGGGUAUUGUACUCUGUAUUUGCCAUGCUUCUCCUAUGUAAUUCCUGUACAACAUUAGUGCGUCUUAUUUGCAACCAUAUAGGUCCUGAUAAGUUUUCUUAUUCUUUGUUGUUAAUGUAGUAUUUGAUUUAGGAUUUAUGUAGCAUUGUUUAAGAGUGUUUUGGUUUUGUAGUUUGAGGAGGGUCCUGGCAACCAGUUUUUUCAUGUUUAAUGGGUAGGCUAUGGAAAGUCUAUCAUUAGGGCGUUCCGUUAGCAUAUUCUUUUGAGAGUGCAGAUUGUUUUGCUGACGAACCAUUUGCGCCUGUCAACGGUAGCUAUUUCUUUCUUUUUCUCUACUUUUUUUCAAUUAUUAUUUCUUGAAGUCUGUUUAUUUAUUUUGUGUCUAUUGUAUUUUGCAUUUUUCAGGAACUUUCAGGUGAUGAAGCAGACUUUGACCAAGCUCUUUUCAAGUUUUAUGUGAACCAAGCUCAUUAUUUCUCUUUUUUGCUUGUUGUUCUUGAGGAUGCUACUGUAGCCACUAAAAAUCCAACCAAUUUUGAGUAGAAAUUCAUAUAUGCCUGGGCUUCUUCUUUUGUUUUGAACUACAUGCCUAACUGUGGCUUAAAAUUGCUGCUGGUGUUCAUAAGAUUGCCUUCUGAUGCAGUCUCUUGUUCAUUUUGCAGGAACCUCUCAAUGUCUUCUUCAUCGAGGUAUUCAUUGUCUGCGUCUUGUUCAUGUGAGUCCUCUGUUUCUCCCCUUUGUCCUUCUUGAUUUAUCUGGUUUGUGUUUGACUUUGAUUUAUUUGUUGUGGAACUAGGGUCGGUAUCUUCAGGGACCUGCAAAAUUAUUCUUUUUGUGUCCGUUUUAAUUUUCAAACAGGUUUGUACAAAUACGUUCAUAUUCUAUUUGUGACUUUGAUUUAUCUAUUUAUGUGGCUACCUGUUCCAAACUGAUGUUGUCAAACAUGUGUGCCUCCCAGGGAUUAGGUUCUGUUGUGCCUUCUUCGCUUGCUGUAGCUUCAUGAUGCAUUUCCUGCAAUGUCUGCAGUGUAAGUGAGAUGUUACUUUCUCUCUUUUUUCUCAGUUCAGAUAUGAGUUAUUCAGUACUAGUUUUCCUCUCCAUCUUGUGUAAUGUUUGCAGCACCAUCUCCCGAAUGUACCUGUGAGCAUCAUGAUUUCUUUUAAUUUAAAACUUCUCCUUCUCACAGAUUUGUAGCUAUGCAGUAUUUGAAUUUCCAUUUUACCUUGUAGAUAAUGUCUGAAUUGAGGAGCGCUGUGAAUGAAAAUGAUUCCCGCAAAACAUUUUUUGUUAGCAUGAAUGUAUUGUAUAUAGCAUUUUCCUCUAUUGGUUUUUGCAAUCAGUUUGCUAGUAUUUAUACAUGUCUCACAUUUAGAAUGAGUUCUUCUUGUGACAUUGACAGUAGAUCCUCUCCAGUCACUCUUCCUAUCAUGCUCCCCAUCUGCAAUAUUGAAGAUUAAAUGUGAGAGAAUUUUAAUUUUGUAAGCGGCAAACUGUUAUCAGUGAUAGCUCUUUUCUCUGCAUGUAUUUCCUAAGCAGAAAACUGUCAAUAUUAACUUUUUAAGCUCCAAACUACAAAUCAUUUUUUAAGGAGCAAAGUGUGAGUUCCUGGUUUUGGACACUGUAAAUCCUGGGUGGCAUGAGGUGUUUUUACAGUGUAAAUCGGUAGUUUGAAUGGUAAAUGUUGGGUGCUUACUAUGUUUAUACAAUGUAAAUUCCAAGGUCUUUGGACUGUAUUUGUAAUGUUUUUG